rnacentral:rRNA from 1 species
AAUGGGCGCAAGCCUGACGGAGCAAGACCGCGUGGGGGAGGAAAGCCUUUGGGUUGUAAACCCCUUUUCUCAGGGAAGAAGAAAGUGACGGUACCUGAGGAAUCAGCCUCGGCUAACUCCGUGCCAGCAGCCGCGGUAAUACGGAGGAGGCAAGCGUUAUCCGGAAUGAUUGGGCGUAAAGCGUUCGUAGGUGGCAAUUCAAGUCUGCUGUCAAAGACAGUAGCUCAACUACUGCAAGGCAGUGGAAACUGAAUAGCUAGAGUGCGGUAGGGGCAGAGGGAAUUCCCGGUGUAGCGGUGAAAUGCGUAGAGAUCGGGAAGAACACCGGUGGCGAAAGCGCUCUGCUGGGCCGCAACUGACACUGAGGGACGAAAGCUAGGGGAGCGAAUGGGAUUAGAUACCCCAGUAGUC